UCUACCCCCUCUCCUAAUCCCUGUGUUUACUGCAGAGUUUUGUGGUUUCCUUCCUCUGGUCCCCUUGGUUAUCUGCAUUGGCACAGAGCCCGGGUUCUGCUUCCCUUCCUCCCUGCACACCUUCGUGUCCCCAGCCACUGGAUCCUGCAAAGUGCAGCCCCAGUUGAGCAGACAGUGCCCACAAGUGGGUGCCUGGCAGGCUGGAGACGCCAGUGCUGCAUCGCAGCCGCAGCGCUGGCCCACGGGCCAUGGCAACAAAGAGCUCCAAUCCCGCAGCCGCCGGGCGGGGAGCGCUCCGCUGACACACGGCGAGAGGAGAGCUGCUCGCAGGAGCCAGCAACUCCAAACACGUCGUGGGAGAGCACAGGAGAGGCUGAAGGGGUUUUCAUUUCGAGCUCUGUUUGGCGCAGUUGUUAAACACCACUUAAUUCAGAUACACCGUGCGAUAGCCCUGGUUCAUGAGCGGGAGUCAGGGCGGAACAAUAACUGAAGGAGGCCACUCACAACCCUGGUGGAGAGCCUUAAAGUGGGCAGGUGAUCCGGCUGGUUAGUUCUGAUUUAUUACAAAGGCAUCUUUAUGCUUUUUGAAUUCCCUUCCAUCACUCACGUUAAACAAAACUGCAUUUUUAUAAG
rnacentral:lncRNA from 1 species